GAAUCUUGCGCAAUGGGCGAAAGCCUGACGCAGCAAUUCCGCGUUGGGGAAGAAGGCCUUCGGGUUGUAAACCCCUUUUGCGAGGGAAGAAGUUCUGACGGUACCUCGCGAAUAAGCCACGGCUAACUACGUGCCAGCAGCCGCGGUAAUACGUAGGUGGCGAACGUUGUCCGGAUUUACUGGGCGUAAAGAGCCCGCAGGCGGCCAUGCAAGUUCUGGGUGAAAUCUCCCGGCUCAACCGGGAGGGGUCCUGGAAAACUGCAUGGCUCGAGGCUGGGAGAGGGAUGCGGAAUUCCGAGUGUAGCGGUGAAAUGCGUAGAUAAUCGGAGGAACACCAGAGGCGAAGGCGGCAUCCUGGCCCAGUCCUGACGCUCAGGGGCGAAAGCGUGGGGAGCAAACCG
rnacentral:rRNA from 1 species